CUCUCUUCUUUCCUUCCUUCCUUUCUCCCUCUUUUCCUUCCUCCCUUCCUCUUUUCCUUCCUUCCUUCCUUCCUUCCUUCCUUCCUUCCUUCCUUCCUUCUUUCCUUCCUUCCUCCCUUCCUCUUUUCCUUCCUCCCUUCCUCUCUUCCUCCCUCUCUUCGUCCCUUCCUCCCUCCCUGUAUGUCAGAUGUGGCUUGGAAUAUCUAAGUGCAGGGUGGAGGGGAAUUGGGAGGUGGGCAGGAGCAAGAUCAAAAAGGGUUGGAGUACCUUGGACUUUAUCUUGUGUUCAGUGGAGGACAAUGGGAGUUUUUAAAUGGGGGAAUGCAGACUGGAGCUUUAGAUAGUUUGAGAAGCAGUUAGAAGAGAAGAGGCCCAGGAUUGACAUGUGGGGACAUCGACGCUCAGGGGUGGGCAGAGGAAGAGGGGCUCCAAGAGGCUAAGAAGGAAUAUGGGGAGAUAUUGGGGAACCCAAGAGAGUGUGGGGAGCAGGACGUCUGGCUUGAGGCCCCUGGGGGCUCUAACUGGCCCCUGUGCUUUUGGCACGAUGUCUGGAGGGCUUCCCCCUGGGGGAAGGCUGGUUCGCAGGGCUCUGAAGGAGCUGCUCCCCUCCAAGUGGUCAGGAGACAGGCUCUAAUCAACAGCAGAGUUGGCCACUGGGCGUUUUCUCUGCCAGCAUCUGCCCCUGGCUCCUCUGAGCUCUGACUUCACAGGGGCUGAAGGGUUUUAGGCCCUGGGCAACAGGCUGAUCACUAUUGACUCCUCUUAAUUGCCUUGAACCUAUCAGAUCUAGUUUCUGUGUGAUUCUCUCUGGCCUCAGAACCCACCGCUGACCCCACCAACCGUUUCCCAUUCAUCCUGUGUACAGCCCAGCCCUGCAUGCCUGUCACCAAGACACUGAUCCCAUUGUCCAGAAUCCUCUCUGCCACUCAGCCAAAUUUGGAAAAGUGCUCAUGGGGUCUACCAUUGAAAUGGGAAAUAAACAUGCAAUAAAUGA